GACGAACGCUGGCGGCGUGCUUAACACAUGCAAGUCGAACGGAAAGGCCCUGCUUUUGUGGGGUGCUCGAGUGGCGAACGCGUGAGUAACACGUGAGUAACCUGCCCUUGACUUUGGGAUAACUUCAGGAAACUGGGGCUAAUACCGGAUAGGAGCUCCUGCUGCAUGGUGGGGGUUGGAAAGUUUCGGCGGUUGGGGAUGGACUCGCGGCUUAUCAGCUUGUUGGUGGGGUAGUGGCUUACCAAGGCUUUGACGGGUAGCCGGCCUGAGAGGGUGACCGGCCACAUUGGGACUGAGAUACGGACCAGACUCCUACGGGAGGCAGCAGUGGGGAAUAUUGCACAAUGGGCGGAAGCCUGAUGCAGCAACGCCGCGUGCGGGAUGACGGCCUUCGGGUUGUAAACCGCUUUCGCCUGUGACGCAGCGUGAGUGACGGUAAUGGGUAAAGAAGCACCGGCUAACUACGUG
rnacentral:rRNA from 1 species